rfam:Spironucleus salmonicida unplaced genomic scaffold scf7180000020619, whole genome shotgun sequence.
GCAUUUUUGGCCGAGUGGUUAAGGCGUAACGUUAAGGCCGUUAUGGGACUUAUCCCGCGUGGGUUCGAGCCCCACAGAAUGCA